AGUGCUGUGUGCCAGACACUAUUCCCAGUGCUUCAGGGAUAUCAUCUUGUUGAUUCUCUUCAACAAUCCUUUGAGGCCAGCUUUGGACUAAGAAGAAUGAAGUGGUGAUUCCCAGCAAAUUGUGAAUCCUAAGGGAAGAAGGAUGGAGUCAUAGUACAUUUCAGAAGAGCUCUAUGUGGUCUGGGCUGCAAAUGAAAAGAGAACACAGAGUCCCCAACGACCAUAAGAACCUUUAAGGUUUCCACUACGGUUUCCUGAAGAUAUGAACAUUUGAGUCACUGGAAAGUAACACAUCUCUCUGAAGAUCAGUGAAGUGGCUUUCUGGUUUAUAUAUCAGCCUCCUGGCUGUGGUGGAAUUAAUCUUAAAAUGCACACUCACCAGAUCUCUAAUCCCAUUUCUCAAUUUUGGGAGACUGAGAAAAGGGAGGCAUAUGAGUUUGGGCUGCCAUAUUGAUCCAAGCUGCAAGUUCAUUUUUC
rnacentral:lncRNA from 1 species